rnacentral:rRNA from 1 species
GCCUAACCGUAAAAUAUUUACUCACAUUAACAAACGCCUGGGAAUUACGAGUAAGCUUAAAACCCAAAGGACUUGACGGUGUCCCAUUCCCCCUAGAGGAGCCUGUUCUAUAAUCGAUGAUCCCCGCUUUACCCUUCCACUUCUUGCUUUUCAGCCUGUAUACCUCCGUCGUAAGCUUGCCCUGUGAACGCUUAUUUAGCAAGCCCAAGGAUCUUAUCACCAACACGUCAGGUCAAGGUGCAGCCUAUGAAGUGGAAAGCAAUGGGCUACAAUUUSUAAAUUAGAACAAACGAAAAACUGCAUGAAAUACAGUUAGAAGGUGGAUUUAGUAGUAAAAAAGAAAUAGCGAGUCUUUUUUAAUCCGGCCCUGGGACGUGUACACACCGCCCGUCACCCUCUUCAAUAGUAACUUAGUUAGUUCAUAACACCCCCUUCACGCCUUAGAAGAGGUAAGUCGUAACAUGGUAAGCGUACUGGAAAGUGCACUUGGAUCAA